rnacentral:rRNA from 1 species
UACGGAGGGGGCUAGCGUUGUUCGGAAUUACUGGGCGUAAAGCGCACGUAGGCGGUGGUGCAUGUCAGAUGUGAAAGCCCCGGGCUCAACCUGGGAAUUGCAUUCGAGACUGAAUAGCUAGGGUACGGUAGAGGGAAGUGGAAUUUCCGGUGUAGCGGUGAAAUGCGUAGAUAUCGGAAGGAACAUCAGUGGCGAAAGCGACUUCCUGGACCAGUACCGACGUUCAGGCACGAAAGCGUGGGGAGCAAACAGG